rnacentral:rRNA from 1 species
CCUGUAUCCUUGCCGAACACAGAAGUGAAACGCCGUAGCGCCGAUGGUAGUGUGGCAGAUGCCAUGUGAGAGUAGGACACUGCCAGGC